AAUUUUGUUUUCUAUUUUCUUUUUUUUUUUUAAAGAUUUAUUUAUUAUUAUAUCUAAGUAAACUGUAGCUGUCUUCAAAUACCAGAAGAGGAUGUCAGAUCUCAUUACAGAUGGUUUUGAGCCACCAUGUGUGGUUGCUGGGAAUUGAACUCAGGACCUUUGGGAGAGCAGUCAGUGCUCUUAACUGCUGAGCGAUCUCUCCAGCUGUUUUCUAUUUUCUAAUCAAAGUGAUGUUAUGAUUUUACCUGAUAAAUAAUUCAGUCUUCACUGUUACUUCUGAUAAAUGUUACUUCUGGUUUAUUUUGAGAAACCUGGAACCACUGAAGAUUAGUUUAAUUCUUGUUGAGUAUCUGGGCAUAUUUUCUUAUGAAUAUUUACCCUUUGUAGCUCAUAUGCAUGUUGCUAUUAAAUAAAUUUGAAUAUGGAUGUCCUACUAAGGACAAUCCAUCUCUACAUUGAUCAGCAAGAAACUUAAAGCUGUUUUACAAUCUUUUCAUUAUAAAGACUGUAUAGCUUGAAUCCUUUAACCUGUAAAUCUGACUUUACUUUGAGUUUGCCUUGACUUAUCAGUGUGCUCCUAUCUGCUGAGAAAGCCUUGUGGAAGCUGCAACAGAUCCCUUGCAGAAUCAAAAAAUGGGCAAAAUGCUUACUGUUUCAUCAAGGGUUGUAGGGGUUCAGGAAAAUGGGCAAGAGUGAUUAGAAGUGUAACAAGUUGAAAGCCAUUCCCACAUUUUACUAACAAAGAAGAAUCUUGACAAAGGUAGUGUAGAAGGAGAAUAGAAACUGACCAUAGCUGUAAUCUAAUUAGACAGUUGAAGGACUAGAAGAAGCAUUUCUUUCUUGGCCUCUCUAGGAACCACAUUUGUCUCUUUUUUUUCUUGAUGACAGAUGAGUUAGAGCCCAGAAACAUGGGGUUUGUGGAGUUAGCUCAGCCAAUAAAUUACCUAGGAAUCUCAGUCAGUAGGGCUAUAUUCGGGAUUCAGUGGUAAAGAGUGCUUCGAGCUAUCCAAAGGUCUGUUCUUGGCGCCCAUGUUAGGCAGCUCACAACUGCCUGCAAUUCCAGCUCCUACAGUUCUGACACUCUCUUCUGGAGUCCACAGGCUCAUACAUACAUGUGGCACACCCACGAGCACGCGCACACACAGAAAUAAUGAAUGAAUGAAUGAAUGAAUGAAUGAAUCUAAACUCAAACAAAGAGCCUGAGUUGGAUAGUCAGAUCCUAUGUUGAUAAAAGGAGGAGUGGGAGAAGGAGAAAUAAAUAAACAAAUAGCUGGCAUGCCAGCUUUUAUAAUCCUGGGAUGAGGAAGCAGAAACUAGAAAUCCUUUGAGAUUCAUUGGACAUCUAGCCCAGCCUGAUCAGUGAGUGUCAGUAAGAGACCCUAUGGCUUCCACAUACCUACACGUAUGUUCCUGUGCACAGACAAACAUGCAUACAUAGGACCACAUAUCCAUACAUCCACAUAGAAAUAGCAAAAGAGAUUCUAACCAUUCUGGUGACUUUUAUUUGGGUAUGUUUACUCAUUUUCUUUUAACUUUGUUUUCUUUCAUAUCAAUAUCUGACCAGUUCAUCAGCCUUCUGAAGACGGCAAAGGCAACUGUAAAACUGACUGUUCGAGCUGAGAAUCCAGCUUGUCCAGCUGUUCCUUCUUCAGCUGUAACAGUCAGUGGAGAAAGGAAAGACAACUCCCAGACUCCUGCAGUCCCAGCUCCAGACCUGGAACCCAUCCCAAGUAAGGGCUGUCCCCUGAGAGUCCUGUACAUACAUAUGGCAACCCCAAUACAGCAUUUUCCUUAGAGCAGGCCUGAGCACAGAUCAUUGCUUGAGCAGCAUUAAGUCAGAGUCUUUGGUUAAAAGAGGGCACAACAGAGUAAAUUGUGGUCCUGCAUGUAUAAGUUACCCAACUAUGAUACCUUAGGAAGCCACUGCAGGCCCCUGCCUUAGCCUCUUCCUCCCCAAACCAAGGAAGUGGUCUUUCUCUCAAGUUCAUGCUAAGGGUACGUGCAGUUCCAGGCAUCCAAGUACGGAGUCAGCUGUGCCAUUUUGUAACUCCUACUGUUGGAAUGGGAAUGCAGCUCUCAGCUUCAGUUUGUGUUGGAUGAAGUUGUACACAAUGAUCUGUUUCACAGCUAUGAUCAGUACUGCCUGCUGUUCCACAAAGCUUAAAGUGCUGACUAUGCUGUGUAUAUGAUAAAUCCAGGUUGGGAGCUCAGAGGAUACGGAAAGCUCACAUUAGAUGCAAGGGGCAAGACUUUCUUGUAUCACUAAAUGACAAUUUAAUAUAGAGAUAAAAUUAUUACUUGACUUACUUUUUAGAAAAAGAUUACUCAUGGAUAAAAAUAAAUAACUCCAAAUUCUCUAAAGCAUCAGUUAGAAAUAAUUCAGAUUGCCUUUUCUAUAGGAAGUGGAAAAGCAAUGAGAUAGUCUUCCUGAAAUAUUUUAUUUGUUUGAUAGUUUGUUAACAAAAAAUUGGCUGAGAGCAUUCAUAAUACACUUAU
rnacentral:lncRNA from 1 species